UGUAAAAAGGUUGGAUAGUAGAAGGGGCAGAUAGUGUAAAGGUUGUGGAUGGUGGAAGGGCGGACAGUGUAAAGGUUGUGGAUUGUAGAAGGGGCUGACCGUGUAAAAGUUGUGGAUGCUGGAAGGGCGGACAGUGUAAAGGUUGUGGAUGGUGGAAGGGGAGGAUAGUGUAAAGGUUGUGGAUGGUGGAAGGGGAGGAUAGUGUAAAGGUUGUGGAUAGUGGAAGGGGAGGAUAGUGUGAAGGUUGUGGAUCUUGAAAGGGGAGGAUAGUGUGAAGGUUGUGGAUGGUGGAAGGGGAGGAUAGUGUAAAGGUAGUGGAUGGUGGAAGGGCGGAUAGUGUAAAGGUUGUGGAUAGUGGAAGGGAAGACAGUGUAAAGGUUGUGGAUAGUGGAAGGGGCAGACAGUGUAAAGGUUGUGGAUGGUGGAAGGGCGGACAGUGUAAAGGUUGUGGAUUGUAGAAGGGGCUGACCGUGUAAAAGUUGUGGAUGGUGGAAGGGCGGAUAGUGUAAAGGUUGUGGAUAGUGAAAGGGGUGGACAAUGUAAAGUUUGCGGAUAGUGUAAGGGGUGGAUAGUGUUAAUGUGGAUAGUGGAAUUAAUACUUUUGGGGUAUAGAUGGUAAGGGAUAAGCAUUGUGAGUGGAAAUAUUCAAUGAGGUGCAGUUACUCCUCCCUUUUCCAUGUUUCUUUUUAUAUAGUCUUGCCGCCUACCAGACAACAUAAAAACGACACAUAUUAUAUAGUUAUUGAAAGUGAAACGACCCAUACUGAUAAACUAUGAAUUAUCAAUACUUAGUUUACUAAUUACUACCCACCUAUCACAGAAGCAUUUCACUGCAGCCUUCUACAUGGCAUUACCCUAGAAAACUGCUUACAUAGCACUGGCACAAUAACAGUACUAUACUCCAUACAUUAAUCUAGAAG